GACAGAGGGGGCAAGCGUUGUCCGGAGUUACUGGGCGUAAAGGGCGCGGAGGCGGUCUGCGGCGUCGGCGCUGAAAGCGCCCCGCUUAACGGGGCGAGGCGUGCCGAUACGCGCAGACUUGAGGCGAGCAGAGGGUGGUGGAAUUCCGGGUGGAGCGGUGAAAUGCGUAGAGAUCCGGAGGAACGCCAGUGGGGAAGCCGGCCACCGGGGCUCGGCCUUACGCUGCGGCGUGUCAGCGUGGGGAGCAAACCGG
rnacentral:rRNA from 1 species